UUUGAAACAACAGUUCCCCUACGAUUACCGAAGUUAAACAGCGUCGAUCCUGGUCAGUAUCUCGAUGGGUGACCGCUUGGAAAUACCAGGUGCUGUAA